rnacentral:rRNA from 1 species
AACGAACGCUGGCGGCAUGCCUAACACAUGCAAGUCGAACGGGACCUUCGGGUCUAGUGGCGCACGUCUGCGUAACGCGUGGGAACCUGCCCUUAGGUUCGGAAUAACUCCCCGAAAGGGGUGCUCAUACCGGUUAAUGUAUUCGGACCAAAGAUCUAUUGCUUUUGGAUGGGCCCGCGUUGGAUUAGCCAGUGGGUAGGGUAAAAGCCUACCAAGGCGACGAUCCAUAGCUGGUCGGUGAGGAUGAUCAUCCACACUGGGACUGCGACACGGCCCAGACUCCGACGGGAGGCAGCAGUGGGGAAUACUGGACAAGGGGCGAAAGCCUGAUACAGCAACGCCGCGGGAGUGAGGAAUGCCGUAGGGUUGUAAAGCUCUUUUAGCCGGGAUGAGAAUGACAGUACCGGGAGAAGAAGCUCCGGCUAACUCCGUG